GCACAUGGUGAAUGCCUUGGCGAUAAGAGGCGAUGAAGGGCGUAGUGAUCUGCGAAAAGCGUUGGCGAGUUGAUGAACGAGCUUUGACCCAACGAUACCCGAAUGGGGGAACCCACCUGCCAUAAGGUAGGUAUCUUUAAGUGAAUACAUAGCUUAAAGAGGCGAACCGGGAGAACUGAAACAUCUAAGUACCCCGAGGAAAAGAAAUCAACCGAGAUUCCCUUAGUAGCGGCGAGCGAAAGGGGACCAGCCCAGUUACCACAAGCCUGAAUCAUUUAGAUGAACGUUCUGGAAAGUUCGACCAUAGAGGGUGAUAGUCCCGUAAUUGAAAAGUGGUUUAGGUGGGGUAACGAAGAGUAAGACGGGACACGUGUUAUCUUGUCUGAACAUGGGGGGACCAUCCUCCAAGGCUAAAUAC
rnacentral:rRNA from 1 species